AUGCAAAGCGUUUCUCUAGACAUUCUCUGUCAGUCUACCCGGGACAGAGCACUGACGCAACGGUGCACCUUCGUCGGACCUCGUGCUGUGAGGAAGUCACUAAACAAAACCCCACGUCCGCCGUCGCUGGCAGUUAUCGACCAGCUGCUCAACAAACACCGUGAGCAGAAAGACAUGCUGAAGCUUGUGGACCAGGACUACGCUGCUCUGCACAACUCCUGUACAGACCCCAACAGCAUGCUCCACCCAACAACAAAACUACAUAUCCUACAAUAUGUAAAGCACCUCGGCAAAUUGUUGAACACCAGUUCCUCUUUAAACGUCAGUCCAGAAAAACUGCAAAAGAGGCUGAAACUCUGUCACUCUCUGACAGAGGCGAGUGAGACCACUGUGCCAGUUGUUACGAUGUCGGUUGCAAUUGUUCACCCACCUCCACCUGUUCAGAUGCUGACUCAAGCCUCUAUUGAGAAGAUUGUACUCAACGUCAUGGAAAAGCAGCAGCAACAUAAACAGCAACAACCGGGGCAAAAGAAGGGACACACGAAAGACAAAGUUCUUUCAGCUAGAACUGGAUGCCACACAGAAAAGGGUGACAGAGAAAGGACAGCAGAAGAGGAAGAGAAAACAGUCGUCACAUUCAAACUCGGUUCCCUGGAGUAACAGGGAAGUACAUUUUCUGCCCCGCUAAAAUCUUUUCACUAUACAAAGACCAGGGCAUGGAUAAGGAAAUGACGUGGAGAGUGUUCCAGGGCUCUGCUUUCUUUGAGAAAGAAAAACAGAGAUUGGAGGCUGAAAGGAGGAAAGAAGAGAAAUAAUAGGGGGAGUUCCAUCUAGCAUUUUAAGUCCAAUUAUUUGUAAUAUUCAUGUUGUAAUUUGUUUAUAUAUUGGUUUCUUGCAUUUGUGACUUUGUACAUCAUUCUUUAUAUUUGGUUUUAUGGUUUGAUAUUCAUUAGUUUAAUUAUUUAGAUUGUUUGUUGUUUGUGUAGGACUAUACAAAUCUGUUGAUCUAUCAGUGUUCAACAUUUACUGUCCCAAGUUAAUAAAUAUAUUUCAAUUACUAAUGUCUACAUGUGUCAUCAAUAAGUGAAUCACUGUAGUGAACAGUAAAAUAAGUUGGUCUGUAAGUACAAUCUAGUGAUAACCAGUAGCCAGCAGAUUGGGGUAAGAAUUUUCCUUUAUUUGUUUUUUUGAGAUGGAUGAGGUAGGAUGGAGUGGGAGGUGGGAUGUUUUUUGUUUAAAAAAAU
ensembl:lncRNA